rnacentral:rRNA from 1 species
GACGAACGCUGGCGGCGUGCUUAACACAUGCAAGUCGAACGGUGAUGCUCCAGCUUGCUGGAGUGGAUCAGUGGCGAACGGGUGAGUAACACGUGAGCAACCUGCCCCAGACUCUGGAAUAAGCGCUGGAAACGGCGUCUAAUACUGGAUACGAAACUGGCCCGCAUGGGCAUGGUUUGGAAAGUUUUUCGGUUUGGGAUGGGCUCGCGGCCUAUCAGCUUGUUGGUGAGGUAAUGGCUCACCAAGGCGACGACGGGUAGCCGGCCUGAGAGGGCGACCGGCCACACUGGGACUGAGACACGGCCCAGACGCCUACGGGAGGCAGCAGUGGGGAAUAUUGCACAAUGGGCGAAAGCCUGAUGCAGCGACGCCGCGUGAGGGAUGACGGCCUUCGGGUUGUAAACCUCUUUCAGCAGGGAAGAAGCGAAAGUGACGGUACCUGCAGAAGAAGCACCGGCUAACUACGUG